rnacentral:rRNA from 1 species
UACGGAGGGUGCAAGCGUUAUCCGGAUUUACUGGGUUUAAAGGGUGCGUAGGCGGUUUUUUAAGUCAGUGGUGAAAUACCCGUGCUCAACAUGGGAAUUGCCAUUGAUACUGAAGGACUUGAAUAUGAGUGAGGCAGGCGGAAUGAUGCAUGUAGCGGUGAAAUGCUUAGAUAUGUUUCAGAACACCUAUUGCGAAGGCAGCUUGCUAAUUCAUGAUUGACGCUGAGGCACGAAAGCGUGGGGAGCAAACAGG